GAUGAACGCUGGCUACAGGCUUAACACAUGCAAGUCGAGGGGAAACGCCGGGGAAGCUUGCUUCCCCGGGCGUCGACCGGCGCACGGGUGAGUAACGCGUAUCCAACCUGCCUCUGACUGAGGGAUAACCCGUCGAAAGUCGGCCUAAUACCCCAUGGCAUCGUCUGCGGGCAUCCAACGACGAUUAAAGAUUUCAUCGGUAAGGGAUGGGGGUGCGUCUGAUUAGCUUGUGGGCGGGGUAACGGCCCACCAAGGCUACGAUCAGUAGGGGUUCUGAGAGGAAGGUCCCCUACAUCGGAGCUGCGGUCCGGUCCACACUCCUACGGGAGGCAGCAGUAUGUAAUAUUGGUCAAUGGGCGGGAGCCUGACCCAGCCAAGUAGCGUGCAGGAUGCCGGCCCUAUGGGUUGUAAACUGCUUUUAUGCGGGGAUAAAGUGAGGGACGUGUCCUUCAUUGCAGGUACCGAAUGAAUAAGGACCGGCUAAUUCCGUG
rnacentral:rRNA from 1 species